rnacentral:lncRNA from 1 species
CAAAGGAGCUGUUGGCUUUGGGGAUGACCAGUGAAAUAUACCUGCUGGAGCGUGUGCUGGAGCGCGGUGGGAGUUGCUAUGGUGACCAGUGAGCUGAGAUAAGGCGGAGUUUACCUAGCAAAUGUUUAUAGAUGAUCUGGAGCCAGUAGGUUUGGCGAUGAAUAUGAAGCGAGGACCAGCCAACGAGAGCAUACAGGUCACAGUGGUGGGUAGUCUAUGGGGCUUUGGUGACAAAACGGAUGUCACUGUGAUAGACUGCAUCCAAUUUGCUGAGUAGAGUGUUGGAGGCUAUUUUGUAAAUGACAUCGCCGAAGUCAAGGAUCGGUAGGAUGGUCAGUUUUACGGGGUAUGUUUGGCAGCAUACCCCGUAAAUAGGAAGCCGAUUCUAGAUCUAACUUUGGAUUGGAGAUGCUUAAUGUGAGUCUGGAAGGAGAGUUUACAGUCUAGCCAGACACCUAGGUAUUUAUAGUUGUCCACAUACUCUAAGUCAGAACCGUCCAGAGUUGUGAUGCUAGUCAUGCGGGCAUUUCGUUUUACUUGUAUUUAAGAGCAGUUGGAAGCCACGGAAGGAGUGUUGUAUGGCGGGAUUCGAAAUGGUUUGUGAUCUGUUUGUUCACUUGGCUUUCGAAGACUUUAGAAAAGCAGGGCAGGAUGGAUAUAGGUCUGUAAUAGUUUGGGUCAAGAGUGUCUCCCCCUUUGAAGAGGGGGAUGACCACGGCAGUUUUCCAAUCUUUAGGAAUCUCAGACAAUACGAAAGAGAGGUUGAACAGACUAGUAAUAGGGGUUGCAACAAUGGCAGCGGAUAAUUUCAGGAAGAGAGGGUCCAGAUUGUCUAGCCCAGCUGAUUUGUAGGGAUCCAGAUUAUGCAGCUCUUUCAGAACAUCAGCUGUCUGGAUUUGGGUGAAGGAGAAGCGGGGGGGCUUGAGCCAGUUGCUGCGGGGCGUGCAGAGCUGUUGUCCCGGGUUGAGGUGACCAGGUGGAAAGCAUUGCCAGCCGUAGAGAAAUGCUUAUUGAAAUUCUCGAUUAUCAUUGAUUUAUCAGUGGUGACAGUGUUUCCUAUCCUCAGUGCAGUGGACAGCUGGGAGGAGGUGCUCUUAUUCUCCAUGGACUUUACAAUGUCCCAAAACCUUUUGGAAUUAGUGCUGCAGGAUGCAAAUUUCUGUUUGAAAAAGCUAGCCUUUGCUUUCCUAACUGACUGUGUGUAUUGGUUCCUGACUUCCCUGAAAAGUUGCAUAUCGUGGGGACUAUUCGAAGCUAGUGCAGUACGCCACAGGGGGUUUUUGUUUUGGUCAAGGGCAGUCAAGUCUGGAGUGAACCAAGGGCUAUAUCUGUUCUUAGUUCUACAUUUUUUGAAAGGGCAUGCUUGUUUAAGAUGGUGAGGAAAGCACUUUUAAAGAACGACCCCUCAAAGUUAGUGAAAAUAUCUAGACCCCCUGCUCCAGGCCCAAGGAGAGCACUGUUUUGGGCCUAAUAGUUGACUGAAGGGGUUUUAUCCUUCUGGUGCUGGUAAUAGGCCUUGUUACAAUGGCUAAUGUAAUAAUAACACCGGUUAAUGUUAGAACCUUUCUAUUUGUAAUAACACAUUUAUGUAAUAAAACCGGUUAAUAUAAUAACUUGCCGGUUAGCGUAAUAAAAUGUUGAACGGUUAACAUAAUAACUUUUUCCGGUGGAUGUCAUUUUUUAGAUUAACCGAUGGUGAUUAAUUUAACCGGUGAGUAAAAACUUUUCUGAUGAAUGAUGUAAUAACAUGCCAAAAUCAAUAUUUUUAUGCACUACUUCCCUCAAUUUGACGCACAUACCAUUACCCACUGCCAGUUAGAACACAAACAAACUUCAUACGUAGCGACGCUCACAAGCACACAUUGAAAUGUACACACAUGCAUAGUCAUAGACACACACACUCUCUCUCUUUAUGUACAUGACAUGACGUAGCUCUACUUACACAGUAAUGAUGUAAAUGAUUUCACAUUGCAUAUUUUAACUGACAUUAAACUGAGAAUUUUGAAUAAAAUAAUGUUAUUAUGAUGAAAAGCAUUUGUUAUUUUAUAUUUUCUAUCUUCUUUUGCCACCUCUGUUAUUUUCUCUGCUCUCUGUCUAUCUAUGUCCUUCCCCUUUCUGUUCUCCUUUUCUUUACCUCCCUAACAGUCUCCCCCUCCCCACCCCCCCUCUCUCUCUCGCUCUCGCUCUCUCUCACUCUCCCCCGCCCCCCCUCUCUCUCUCUCCCUCUCCCUCCCUCCCCCUCAUUCUCUUUCUCUCUCGCUCUCUCUCUCUCUCUCUCUCUCUCUCUCUCUCUCCCCCAAGUGUGCAUGUAGUCAAGGAGAUGUACAGUUGAAGUCAUAUACAGGCUCAAAUCGGCAGCCCAGCAGGCCCAUUCAGGGUGGUGAAUGGAAGCAGCUCCUGCGCUCGGAGAGCAGAGGUGUUUUUCUAUGGACACUGGAGGACUGUAUUGUGGCUUGAAAGCAGCUAAUGUGUGGAGAAAGAUGGACUGUGGGAAUGCUGUAGCUGCAACUUACAGACCUCAGUUUGGAGGGAAGUGGAGGAUACCAACUAGCAUGUAUUGAUUGCUAAGGUCAGGAUUCUACUCUUGAGCAGUGUACAUUAGUCUCACAUGGAGAUGGUGUCUUUGAGCAUAAGCAUAAUUAUGCUAAUGUCAUCUGCUCAGAUUUUGUCAAGUUUGUGGAUGAAGCUGGUUUCUGCUCUGGAAGAGUGGAGCUGAAGUCCAAUCAGUCCUGGACGUCAGGGUGUGAAGCUGACUUUGACUGGCAGGAUGCAGAGGACGUCUGUCGGGAGCUUGGCUGUGGCACCUUGUUGAGAAUAGAUAAAUAAAUAGUAUGUACUCUUCUUUCUCCAGAGUCUGAUGAUGUGAGGCUGGUGGGAGGAGGCAGUCGCUGCGUUGGUAGAGUGGAAUGGUACCAACAGGGAAAGAGGAAUAUGUGGCCUGUAAAAUAUGGCUGGAAAUUGAAGGAUGUCGCUGAUGUUUUUGUGUAGACAGCUGGACUGUGGCUCCACUGUUUCAACACUACUUGGGAAAAUGCACUGAAGGGUUUGAAGUGUACUGUAAUGGACCUGAGCCGGCGCUCAGGGACUGUGGAAGAGGCACAGGGCCAACUUUGGUGACUCCAUUAAAGGUGAUCUGCUCAGAUCUCCCGCUUAAGCCUGAUAUCUCCAUGACCAUCUCAAUGGGACGGGUCUCCAGGGGCCACCAAAGGACUCUAGAGGUGUUCAGGGGCCACAGCUUCACCAGCACCUGCUCCACUCAGCCACAGCACCCGGGUGUCUCCUUCCUCCUCACGUACCCUGACUCCAAAACAACCCAGACCUAGCCAGCUGUCUAUCACUCUGCUGCCUUCCUCUUUCCCGCUGCAGAUGGCUUCCACCAAGGGAACUACAGCUGUGUUCAUGAGAUUUAUGUUUUUUCACAUGACUUCUCUUCUGAGAGUGAGCUCCUCUCCCUCACUGUCACAGUCUCUCCUCUGACAGCUUUCCACUGUCGGUGAAAGCCAACUCCACCACCUAUCUGUACAUCAAGACCACCAAGAGGCCGAAGCGAGUGGAAGGGGUGAACUUGGAGAUGGUUUCUCUGAAGUCUACAGCUGUAGCCAGAUGGGGAGAGGAGAGAGCAGCCCAGGGUACAGAGUAGGGUGAAGUUGACUGAAAAGUCCAAGUGGGGUCCUUGGGAUGAAAGUUGAAAUUGAAAGUUAAAAUGUUUAAAAUGUAGUUGAAAUCUAAAACAUUUAACGUUGUAAAAAGUUAAGGGUUAAGGUUAGGGUUAAGGUUAGGGUUAUGGUUAUGGUAAGGUUUAGGGUAUCGAUGUCCCAAGGUUUCCGGGUGGCACUAACUGAAGUUGACCGUAGAGACGUUGACCUUAGGUCAGUUUUUUGUUUUCCAGAUAUGAUGGGACUGGUGUGGAUUUGAGGGGACUUUAAUCCCCAUCCAAUCUAAUUAAAUGAGUGGUAAGUUUCCAUUGAUGUUGCUAUUGUUAUGGCUACACUCCUAUUGUUGUAGUUGUCAUUGCUGCCAGACAUAAGAGUUGGCCAGAGCACAGUUAGCAUUAGCCUAGCUUAGCUGAGACAUGAUCAUAUGUCAGCGUAGGGCUAGGUUGCCCCGAGGUGCUGCUCUAAUAUCAACCACCAGCUGUCUCCACUGCUCCCCUCUAAGCCCCACUCGACUUGAGGGGUAACUUGUUCUUACCCUGGGUAACCAACUGAGCGCUCAAGAUACAAUACAAGAUACAAUACCUAAAUCCUAACCUUUGUCAGGUUAUAUCUGUGACAGUUUUUUUGGUUUUAAACUCAACUCUUGAGAUGGAUAACAAAGACAGUUACUUAAUAUAAAGCAUUGAGUUUCCAUUCAUAUAUAGCUACUAAUCACCUUGAGGGGAAAAAAAUGGGAAAAGUCACAUCAACUAAUUUGAACGUUUUUUUAUUUAAGUGAAAGACAUGAUAUUACACGUGACAUGAUAGCUAAUAAAGAUGUACACAUCAUUUAUUACAAGAAUUGUUUGGAAUCACUUCCCUGUGCUCACUCAAAACCUCCACUCCUUCAGUCUGGGUUAGACACACAGAUGGCAGCCAAUCUCUUCAGUAAAUAUCAGUAGUUUCAUUGACUCCAGCUCAGAAUAAAGAGAAAACCCUAACAAAACGAGUGGUAGAAACCCCAUCAGAGGACACAUUCUGCCCACAGAGUCCAAUCAUGGCUUCAGAGAGCUAAAUAACCAUGGUGAUAUUGUCUGAACAGCUGUUUGUGUGUGAAAGUGAGAGUGCAUUGCGCAUAUAUGUUCCUGUGACUUUUUGCUAUUUUGCUAUUAUUAGCAUCAAAUGAUGUUAUUUGUGUGGGUCAGUGCAAAUAGUGUACAUGUGGGUGGGUUGUGCGUGUGUGUUCAGCAGUGGGUGAUCAGUGUGUGCACGGAGGUGUGUGCGAGGGAGCUGCGUGAAGGAUUAGCCCCAGUGUGUGUCCACCAGUGAUUAGCCUGGUCAGUGGGCCUGUUGUGCAUUCACCCAGUCCAUUAGCAUAUUAAUGCUGCCUCCCUCUUGAUCUCUCUGUCUCUCUCUUUUCUCCACCCUCUCUCUUUCUCUUUCCUUUCUAUAGCUAUUUCCCGAGUCUCGCUCGAACUUCCUCCCUGGCAAUUUUUUUCUCAACUUAUUUUGUACUUCCCUUUCUCUCUGCGCUCAGUUUGGGCCCUUCGUACUUUACACAUUUCUCUCUUCCUUGUUCUCUUGUCUUUCCCUCCAAAAAUGUCCUAUUGCCCUUUUCUCCUCCUUCUUUCUCUUCCGAAAUCCCUCCUUCCCUGAUAAUCCCAGUCUCUCGCCCCAAGCCCCGUCUCUCCCUACAAUCUCCAAAUCCUUUACAGUGCUUUACUUUCGCUCUCGUUUUCCCUAUUAUUCCGUAGCCUAACCCCUGAACCUUGCCAAACACAGGCAAAUGCAAACACACACACCUCACUUCAUUCAUUCAAUCUAAUUUUCUCUCACUCUCUCCCCUUUCCUGCUAGAAGUGUGCAUCUUGUGAGACCUUUUGUGAAUAGCUUUGAAAGAAAAAGCAACCUAGAAAACAGGGACUGAAGUGCAAACCGGACACAUUCAACAGUACUUAACAUUAUAAAUGCUAUUCAUUUCUCCCUCUAAUGACUUCAGCCUCCAAGUAGACUCAACCUCUUGUUCUGGCUCUUAACCGCCACCGUGAGCCACGUUUAGAAGCUGGAGAAUAGUAGAAGUAAAAAUAAUUUCUUGGAAAAAGCCCAGUGUGCUAAAGGUGAGCAUUUAUACCCACACGUUUCCUUCUGUCCCUUCCAUGUCUGCAUUACUGGAGAUUUCUGGAGGUCAGGGGCGUGAUGUCCAUCCACAACUCCUGGUUUCAGGGAGGCAGACACAAGAAUUGCGUUUGGACAAUCAGCUCCGGACCCCCUGGGUCAGCACAUAGCAGGGAUGGAUGGGCAGACGUUUGGAUAGACAUAGGGUACAGAGAAACGUAUAGGGAAAUUAAGGCCUCUGAAACCCUAACUCAACCACCCUUUCUGUAUGUUCAUGACACAAUGAUGAACGCAGGGUCACUUUGCAGGGCAGCACCCCAAGGCAGCAGCAAUGUGACCCAUACAAAAGGGCUCCCCAUGGUCACACGGAUCAAAGAGACAAAAGCUCCCUAUGAUAACUUAGUGCAGCCGAGUGUUAACACAUGAGCAGCCAAGGUAAGAGCUGGAAACAAAAGUGAGAAGUUGAAACAAAAGUAGCCCCCCAAACUGAAUUGCUCUAUGCAACAUUUGUCUUUCAAUAUGAGCUGUGUCAAAAUGAAUAAUAUGGGCCGCUUUCGAAAGGCCUCAGCCAUUCAUUGAUGCUCCAUGUGCUGCUCACAAUUGAAGAGCAGCCCCGUACGCCCCACAAAGAGAAAUAAAGUAUUUCAUAUCCAUAUCUUAAAGUUAAUGUUAACAGUUAUUUGUUUGAGUAGAUACUAUUGAGUAGAUACUAUAAAAAGUCAUAUUUAAAAGUCUAAUGAAGACUUGUUUUUCUUUUGAAUUCAGAAAAUGCCCUUUUUCUUAAAUAUUUGAUUACAGAA